UUAGUGGCGACGGGUGAGUAACAUAUCGGAACAUGUCCGGAAGUGGGGGAUAACGUAGCGAAAGUUACGCUAAUACCGCAUAUGCCCCCCAAUAUAAUAGUUGGGGAGGGAAAGGGGGGGAUCGCAAGACCUCUCGCUUUCGGAGUGGCCGAUAUCGGAUUAGCUAGAUGGUGAGGUAAAGGCUCACCAUGGCGACGAUCCGUAGCUGGUCUGAGAGGACGACCAGCCACACUGGAACUGAGACACGGUCCAGACUCCUACGGGAGGCAGCAGUGGGGAAUUUUGGACAAUGGGCGCAAGCCUGAUCCAGCCAUACCGCGUGAGUGAAGAAGGCCUUCGGGUUGUAAAGCUCUUUCAGCCGGAAAGAAAUCGCACUGGUUAACACCUUGUGUGGAUGACGGUACCGGAAGAAGAAGCACCGGCUAACUACGUGCCAGCAGCCGCGGUAAUACGUAGGGUGCGAGCGUUAAUCGGAAUUACUGGGCGUAAAGCGUGCGCAGGCGGUUUUGUAAGACAGACGUGAAAUCCCCGGGCUUAACCUGGGAACUGCGUUUGUGACUGCAAGGCUAGAGUGCGGCAGAGGGUGGUAGAAUUCCACGUGUAGCAGUGAAAUGCGUAGAUAUGUGGAGGAAUACCGAUGGCGAAGGCAGCCCCCUGGGUCGACACUGACGCUCAUGCACGAAAGCGUGGGGAGCAAACAGGAUUAGAUACCCUGGUAGUCCACGCCCUAAACGAUGUCAACCAGGUGUUGGGGAAGGAGACUUCUUUAGUACCGCAGCUAACGCGAUAAGUUGACCGCCUGGGGAGUACGGUCGCAAGAUUAAAACUCAAAGGAAUUGACGGGGACCCGCACAAGCGGUGGAUUAUAUGGGUUAAUUCGAUGCAACGCGAAAAACCUUACCUACCCUUGACAUGCCAGGAAGAUCCCAGAGAUGGGAUGGUGCCCGAAAGGGAACCUGGACACAGGUGCUGCAUGGCUGUCGUCAGCUCGUGUCGUGAGAUGUUGGGUUAAGUCCCGCAACGAGCGCAACCCUUGUCAUUAAUUGCCAUCAUUCAGUUGGGCACUUUAAUGAGACUGCCGGUGAUAAACCGGAGGAAGGUGGGGAUGACGUCAAGUCCUCAUGGCCCUUAUGGGUAGGGCUUCACACGUAAUACAAUGGUCGGUACAGAGGGUUGCCAAGCAGCGAUGCGGAGCCAAUCUCAGAAAGCCGAUCGUAGUCCGGAUCGGAGUCUGCAACUCGACUCCGUGAAGUCGGAAUCGCUAGUAAUCGCGAUCAGCAG
rnacentral:rRNA from 1 species